UUAAUAUUAUCACAAAAUUUUCAAAGUAUACAAUUAAAAAAUUAAAAAACUACGGAUAAUUUUUAUGGUAAAACAUUGUUGUUUUGAUUUAAAAGAAGGUUAUGUUUACUCCAAGCGCAUUAACAUCUGUCACUGAGCUCAACUGUAUCAUAUCAUUUAUGAGAAACUACUGCUAAACUACUGGAAAGUAGCAGACCGAAAUAUUAUUAUCCAUGAUUUGCAGUAAAGAAACGUCAAACGUCAAACUUUCCUUUUUAAAAAUAUAUACAUUUUUCUGAAAUGCGAAGAAAAAUUAAAGACUCGAAUAUUUACAUUGAGUAGGCUUAUGUUACUCAUAAAGAGGAUUUUGGUUCUUAAAUAUUGUAUACAGUACAACUAUCAAAUAAGUAAAUAAAAGCUUCGCGACAGUUUCGUCUGGUUAAAUUCUUAUUCUAGACUUUUGCUCAGUUACUUUAAUUGCGUGUAUAAACGAGGUACAAAAACACAUGCUAAAUCGACGACGCAGCCAACAAGUUGCAAAGAACUUGAGUGUUACACAACGUUUUUGAAUUAGGUAAAAUAAUUUAUCUAAAACUAGACGCGAAUGUUUUCUUAUCAAGAUGGAAUGUAGAUUGCUUGGCUUGGACGAGCAGAAACUCGAAGCUUAUUACGAUGAAUUAGAUCAAGAAUCUAGGAACGAAGAGGCUGAUUUUGAUGGAUUAUUCGUCAACUAUGAAUUAAACGAUAGAGAAAUGUACUGGCUGUUGCAUACUGCUAUAUGCAAAAUGAACUUGAUAGUAAUGGAAGCCAUUGUGAUGGCGUGUACAAGGCCACAGCUAGAUCAUAUGUUCAAUGCUGCCGAUUCGACACUGAUUUACACGGCACUGCAGAAGAAUUUCAUCGAUGCCGUGAAUCUGAUACUCGACUUUAGCGACAAUACGAAUCGCGUCAAUUCCGAGGGCCUGUCGCACUUUUUCAUUGCCUGCCAGACCGGCCACGUUGAAAAGUUGCAAAAUUACAUAGGACUAUGUGGAGUAGACGUAAAUCAAACUUGUCCGGUCUCCCGCCUCACGCCUCUGCAUACGGCCGUUCUUCAUAAGCGCGCCGAGGCAGUCGAACUGCUUCUGCAGCUCGAAGCCAAUCCCAACAUAGUCGAGAUCGGCAGCCUCGCGAAUCCUCUGCACGUGAUUUGUAGCAGCGAUUUGGACCUGGAAGAAGACGAAUGGAACGAUAACAGGUCGUACGCCUCCGAUCUGCGAAUAAUCCAACUUCUCGUCGAGGCCAACUGCGACGUCGAUGCCAGGAAUGCCGCUGGAAAUACGCCUCUGCUAUGUUUGUUCGCGAGUCAAGUGAGCGCCUAUUGCUCGGACAUGGAAGGCUACACCAUCCGGCGAUGUCGUCAGAAAGACGCUAUGGAGCUUCUUCUGGAUCACGGGGCCGACAUCUCGAUACGCAACUCUCUCGGCUUGACCAUACUGCACGUGGUGAUCAACUCACACGUGUUCAACAAUCGCUACCACUUCGUCGACGAGAGCUUUUUCGAAGAUAAGGUUGGCGUCCCGAUGGCCGAUUUAUUGAUAAGUUACGGAGCCGACGUGAACGACGACUACGACGGAUCCGUCGACAGACCGCUGCAGUUGGCCGUUUCCCUCUUUAAUUACAAAAUGGUCAAGCUUCUUUUGAGUCACAAUGCCUCUGUGCAAGACAUCGUUUUUGAGGGUGGCUUAUUCGAAGACGAGUACAGCGCUGUGCCUAAUCUCUACGUUACUCAAAAUUUUCAAGGCAUCUUCAGACUCUUGAAGAGACACGGAUUGCUAAUGACAAGAGAACACUAUCUCAGAGCGCUUUAUGUUGUAGCUUGGUUCGAGUUUUGGACCGAAUGGGAUACGCUCAAUAGUUACCUGUGUACGACCAUCAUGGAAUUAUGUAGCAUAUCCAAAAUAUGGUCAUUAUGGGAAAUGUUAAUCUACGAUGAAUUAGGACAAUAUCACAAUGACCAUACGCUUUAUAACCUGUUGUCUAUUUAUGAUUACACUACAAUUGUAUUAUACGGCGAAAUGUACAUGAAUGAUUUUAUGCGAUUCGCUUGCAACUACGCAAGAGAAACGGUUAGAAGUACACUGAUGGAAGUAAUUGAAUUUCCAGAAUUGGAUUUAGAAGGUCUCAGCCGUGAAAUAGACCUUUCCACACAAAUUAUGAUAAACGAUGUUGUGCCGCUUUACAACGUUUGCGUGACAAACCCUUUAGCAAUGUAUCCAUAUUUAAAAAAUGGAAAGUAUAAAAAGAUAGUUUGCGUGUCAAAGUUCCAGCAACAAUUUCAUAUAACUGGAGGUGUCAUACAAGGAUAUAUUACAAAAAGCAUAAUUGCAGGAUUUGUUCAGGAAUUGGGAGCAGAAUUAUUGUUACAUACAUUGCCGCGUCGGUUAUCAAAAAGAUCUCGCCUACAAAUCGCCGCAUAUUUAGAUCUGAUCGAAGUACUUUAUGUAGCUCAAGCAGUUGAGUUUUCUCAAGAACCGGUAGAAGAUGAAGAAUUAAUUUCGGACGAUGAGUCGAGUUCAAGCGUGGAUUCUCAUUCGUUCGAUAAGACAAUUUCGAACGAAGAAUCUCCUAUAAACCUGUCAAACUCAAGCGAAACAGCAUCUUCCGAAGAGACUACUUCAGUUGAUCCGCCAUCACCUAUGGACAUAACGAUAGAUAUGGAUAUAGAUCCGGAAGUAGAUAUCAUUUCAAUGGAUAGUUACGAAGAAAUGUCUGGACAGGAAUAGUCUUUCUCGAAUAAUUCUUGAGACAAAAUAACCACAACAACAAUAAAUAGAAAAACGCAUGGGCGUUACCGUACUCAGCGUUUUGUAAAUUCGACAAUUUAGUCAAGUUUUACAAAAAAAUUUAAUCCUUUUCAAGAAAACAUCAUUGCAUCAAAAAGUUAAAUAUUUUUUUUAGUACAAAAAAGACGGAACGAGACGCUACAUGUCCUUACUCAGGAUUCGAUGACGGUGGAAGAUGUGGAGAACCUGCUAAAAGAAACAGAACACAAU
rnacentral:misc_RNA from 1 species